rnacentral:rRNA from 1 species
AGUGAACGCUGGCGGUAGGCCUAACACAUGCAAGUCGAACGGCAGCACAGUAAGAGCUUGCUCUUACGGGUGGCGAGUGGCGGACGGGUGAGGAAUACAUCGGAAUCUACUUUUUCGUGGGGGAUAACGUAGGGAAACUUACGCUAAUACCGCAUACGACCUACGGGUGAAAGCAGGGGAUCUUCGGACCUUGCGCGAUUGAAUGAGCCGAUGUCGGAUUAGCUAGUUGGCGGGGUAAAGGCCCACCAAGGCGACGAUCCGUAGCUGGUCUGAGAGGAUGAUCAGCCACACUGGAACUGAGACACGGUCCAGACUCCUACGGGAGGCAGCAGUGGGGAAUAUUGGACAAUGGGCGCAAGCCUGAUCCAGCCAUACCGCGUGGGUGAAGAAGGCCUUCGGGUUGUAAAGCCCUUUUGUUGGGAAAGAAAAGCGGCAGGUUAAUACCCCGCUGUUCUGACGGUACCCAAAGAAUAAGCACCGGCUAACCUCGUG